rnacentral:rRNA from 1 species
UACGAAGGGGGCUAGCGUUGCUCGGAAUCACUGGGCGUAAAGGGUGCGUAGGCGGGUCUUUAAGUCAGGGGUGAAAUCCUGGAGCUCAACUCCAGAACUGCCUUUGAUACUGGGGAUCUCGAGUCCGGGAGAGGUGAGUGGAACUGCGAGUGUAGAGGUGAAAUUCGUAGAUAUUCGCAAGAACACCAGUGGCGAAGGCGGCUCACUGGCCCAGUACUGACGCUGAGGUGCGAAAGCGUGGGGAGCAAACAGG